CCCCUCUCAGGAUUGCACCAGGAGAGUUUCCAGUACUCUACCGGUCUCCGCUAAGGGAGGGAGAGUCAAGCAGAGGCGUUCCCAUUCCAUUCCUAGCUUGGGCAGUGGCUAGUGAGAGGAAGGCAAUCUGCUACAAGU
rfam:Ornithorhynchus anatinus chromosome 2, whole genome shotgun sequence.